UUCCUGUUAAGGGCAUCUGAUAAAAUUGGAAUGAUACAUAGAAAAAUUAGCAUGGAACCUGCGUGAGCAUGACACACACACAAAUCAAGAAAUGGUCCAAAUAUUU
rfam:Brachypodium distachyon strain Bd21 chromosome 4, whole genome shotgun sequence.